GAUGAACGCUGACAGAAUGCUUAACACAUGCAAGUCAACUUGAACUUCGGUUUGGGUGGCGGACGGGUGAGUAACGCGUAAAGAACUUGCCUCACAGAUAGGGACAACAUUUGGAAACGAAUGCUAAUACCUGAUAUUAUGAUUUUAGGGCAUCCUAGGAUUAUGAAAGCUAUAUGCGCUGUGAGAGAGCUUUGCGUCCCAUUAGCUAGUUGGAGAGGUAACGGCUCACCAAGGCGAUGAUGGGUAGCCGGCCUGAGAGGGUGAUCGGCCACAAGGGGACUGAGACACGGCCCUUACUCCUACGGGAGGAAGCAGUGGGGAAUAUUGGACAAUGGACCAAGAGUCUGAUCCAGAAAUUCUGUGUGCACGAUGAAGUUUUUCGGAAUGUAAAGUGCUUUCAGUUGGGAAGAAAAAAAUGACGGUACCAACAGAAGAAGUGACGGCUAAAUACGUG
rnacentral:rRNA from 1 species